rnacentral:rRNA from 1 species
AGCGAACGCUGGCGGCAGGCCUAACACAUGCAAGUCGAACGAUCCUUCGGGAUAGUGGCGGACGGGUGAGUAACACGUGGGAACGUGCCCUUUGGUUCGGAACAACUCAGGGAAACUUGAGCUAAUACCGGAUGUGCCCUUCGGGGGAAAGAUUUAUCGCCAUUGGAGCGGCCCGCGUAGGAUUAGCUAGUUGGUGGGGUAAUGGCCCACCAAGGCUCCGAUCCUUAGCUGGUCUGAGAGGAUGAUCAGCCACACUGGGACUGAGACACGGCCCAGACUCCUACGGGAGGCAGCAGUGGGGAAUCUUGCGCAAUGGGCAAAAGCCUGACGCAGCCAUGCCGCGUGAAUGAUGAAGGUCUUAGGAUUGUAAAAUUCUUUCACCGGGGACGAUAAUGACGGUACCCGGAGAAGAAGCCCCGGCUAACUUCGUGCCAGCCGCCGCUGUAAAAC